UUUCAGUGGAGCCGAAUUCUGCCUUAGCUUUAAAAUUAAAUUACUUAAAUAAUUUAUUGGAUACUUGGAACAUAGUAUUAUGAUAAUUAUUAGUUUGUGGGUCAAAAAGGCCCACACAAUUAAUCAAUUUUAUAAAAGUACCAAUCGUUGUUUAGGUUAGACUAUUACAACUUAAUUUUUAAAUUUAAUUACUACGGUUUAGUGAAGAUCCCACGAAAAACGAUAAAUGGUACACAUAGUGCAUAGAAAACAAGUAUAUUAUUUCUGUUCAUUAUAUUAAACUAAUGCCAGCAGUCUCGUUAUAUAAAUUAUUAUUUACUUUAAAAGAUAUUCAAAAUGUAAUAUUUUGAAAUUGUUCGGGUUCAAAGUUCGGUGCCACUGAUUUGAUAUACAAGUGACAAUAAAUGAUUAUAAAUGUUUGUUUUUUUAAAUUUGUUUUAGAUAUAUUCUCAUCAAUGUUUAUCACGACUGGGGUAAAAUAAUUGUUCUAUGAAAGUCUAUAAUCAUGAUAAGUGGACAAAUAUUUAUGAUAUAAAUAAAAAAUACAUGCGGAAUACUGAUUAGUUCGAUCCGAUAAACCACCAAUGUGUCUAAAAGUUAGAAAAUUGACGCAGCUUAUCAAGUUUUUUGUGACUAAAAAAAUCAUACGCUCCGUGAGGAUUGCACACGUAAUUAAACGUUUCCUGCAGACCUCGUCAAAAUUGAUGCUAGAAACAUAUAUUGCUUUUAGUAUACGUAUACGUUAAAUUGACUCUCAGCAAAACCUUAGAAGUAGAGAAGCCAAAAGCGGAGAACGUUCUUGGAUGAAUAAUCAUGAAUGUGUCAUCUUAUAAACACCACUUUAUAUUGUAUAUAGAGAGGUACAGUUUUACUCGGCUUUUAUUGGUGACAAACUUCUGCAGGAUGUACCUAUGUGUUUCGAAUAUGCUGAAAUUACCUAUUUGACAUUGUACAGGUCUCGUUCAAGUGAUGUUUGUUUUAAUUUUAUUUAAAAAAAUAAAUACAAAUUUAAAUGUGA